AUUCAUAAGUAUUAUAUCAAUACGCUGACGAAUAUAAAGUAUCAGUAAUAUGUUACCGUUGUGGUGAAAUUGAGCACUUACCCGGGGAUUUUGUUAAGCUUUUGUGGCUGGCAAUGAAGUCACGUGAUUUACCGGCAGGACCCUUGUCAGCCAUUCAAUUUGCAGCAGCUAGACAAGUCGUAGUAUAUUAUAGAGGUUUCUUUAUACCGUUUUCAAAUAUUUGGAAAUCUAAAGAGAUAUGGCAGUGCGGAUGGAAGUUUAUAGGCUUUUAAGAACAGACGAGAUUCCAGCGAAUGGCCUCUCUGCCAAAGCUCCUUACUAUCCAAGUUCAAUAGUGCGUCAUGUUGCAUAUGGAUCCAACGGCCAAUCCCGCUUUAUAUCGGCCUGUGGUUCUCUAGAAUGUGCUAUUAACUUUAGAGCAAAAAAUCAACAAGAACAUGGACCGAUUGUUAAGAUCAGUAUUACUGAGGGAAUGACAUUUUAUGACCUACGUACUUUUGGACAAAGACAACAGAUUUUGCUGUCAGAAAACGUGAUUCAUCCACAAGAUACCAUAGACAGGUUCCAUAAUUUCGCUGGAGCGUUUCAAGAAAUUCUAAUAGAAGACCGUGUUCCUCCGGAGAACAUCUUGGUCUUGUAGGUUUAGAUAUGCUAUAGCAUUGAGUGCAAGAAAGACUUUUUAAAGCUAGUGUUUCAUGAGAAGAGAGAGAUUUUUGAUAUUUUUUUAAGAUUGAAUUAUUUCCGUUUGUACGGUUAAUGAAAUAAAGUUUAGAAAUUA